UGCUCCCCAUACUUCCAGAUCCGUCAUAGCCGUGAAGGACAUGUGGCCCCUCGGUGUCUGAAUUUCUCGCUCUCAACGUGGUUUUGCUGUCUCAGUCUGUGUCCAGAGCUGCGUGAUCUUGAGUCCCUGAGAUUUCUGCUUUCUUAGACUACUGUUUUUGAGGUUUGGCCUUUACUACGUUCUUGGAGUUUAUAUUCCCUAUUGUUUUCGGUGUCUCGUAGUUUGUGCUUUACAGCAUGACGAUGUUCUGGUGGUCUAGUCUGCGUGAGUUUUUGUUUUCUGUAACGAUCGACCAUGCGAAGGAUCAUUCCAGUUUACGAGAGCUUGAAAUGCAAGAGUUCUGUAGCGAGUAGUAGUACUGAAGCCUUGGUUUCUCUGUUUCUCACCAUGUCUAAUUUGAUUUGCUGAGUUGAAGCUUCACCCACAAGUUGAUAGCUAGAUGCAGCUCGAGUUCUGUGUCAGCUAAUUGUAAUUAUUUUCUAGUGCGUAUUUGACUGCAAUCCGCUCGGGAAGGAAAUUUACAGCUUUCUCACAGAAGCUUUUGGGAUUACGCAGCAGGGGCGUAAAUGCAAGUAUAUACCUACUCCCACUGACCUACUGAGAUGCAGCAACUGCCAUUUGCACUCGCAACUGACAUGAUUCCGAAUGACUUGUGGACUUCUUCGUAAGGAGUUGCUCCUUAGUCCCUUCAAUCUGGACUCCUGUUGUUGAAGAGGAUGGGUUUUGCAUCAGCGAAGGCCUGAACACUUCAUCAAUGCACGUUUAGGUGCACAGCCGCAAGGUUCUUGUGCGAAUCUCCAUGUGCCCUUUGUUGCAGCAUUGAAGCCAUGCAAUCGACGUAACGCUGCAGCAGCGUGUUCCUUUAGACGCAUAUAUCAAUCAGAUAGCGAAUAUGAACAAUUUUGUAUUUCUAUGGCCCGUUCAGUGAGAGUUUUAUAGGACAUUUCACAUGCUUCUCCCAGGAAAGCGUCAAGAGGAUUUAAGUGACGAGAACCUAUCCCAAGGGACAAUGCUUGCGCGUUGUCAGGGUGAAUUUCACAACUGCGUAAUCUCUCAUGCAUUUCCUUCCCAACCAGUCGUACAAGUAUGAAAACUUUUAAAUUGCUUUUGUUAUGUAUAAACUGUGAAUGAAAUGGAAAUCUUGUUUGACAUCA